AUACUCUGGUUUCUCUUCAGACCGUAUAAAUCUUUCGCCUUUUACUAAAGAUUUCCGUGGAGAGGUAUUUUAUUGGGAGCUGGGUCUCUUUAGUUUGGAGAAA
rfam:Calypte anna contig58763, whole genome shotgun sequence.